UUUUUCAUGAUUAAAAAAGUUAAUCUGUCCGUGACUUAGCACGGGCCAGCAAGAUAGGACAACCUAAAUUAUGAUCAAGGAAUGCGAUGGCGUGGAGUGGAGGCAGCAUCAAGUCCUUGCUUAAUUAGUCCAAAGACGAGGCUGAUUCUGUAGCAAGCAGGCAGCAGAAACACGUGUCUGGUUUGAUAAUCAGACCCAAACAGCUUAAUUUCUCCCAUCUCAAAAAACAGAACGCAAAACCUCGUACGCUAGUUAAUGCAGAAGUAAAACAAAAGAGAAUCUAACGUUGCUGUGACAGUGCAGUCACAUGACAAAUCAGUGACUCGCGGUGAGCAUACACACAAUAUCCUCUCUCUCUCUCUCGUCUUUGGCUUGUUACCAACAACAGGAACAAAGUUGAUCUGAUCUGAUGAGAUUGUAAAGAAAGAAGGAAGGAAGGAAGGAAGGAAGGAAGGAAGCGUAGCCUUUGUUUUGUUUUUAUGGAAACAGCUUUCUCAAGACAGCGAACGCAAUGGUAGUGAUCAUUCAAUCAUGUUGAGUAUUGAUAGAAGUGCAGCACAAGAGAUGAUUGAAAGGAUGGUGCUUACGUGAGCUUAGAAGAGAUGAUUGAAGAAGAGGAAAAUAACAGGUGAGGGCCGAAAUCUAAUUGUGCAUUAUACCUUCAUAAUAAUAACAUCAAAAGACUGGGAAAAAAAAGAGGCUCCACCAAUUAUUAUGACAUCAACGAUCAAACUCUGAACCUCUUUUCCUGGCAACUCCAAAAUGAAACGGUAAAAUUGGGGCAUGAAUA